UGCUGAAAGCAGUGAAGCCCAGAUGGAUUCGUGCAGUUGAAUUGCUCCCACCAAGUCCCUCUUGCUCAAAGACGGAGAUUAUAUUGACUGUGACUGGAAAAGGAAAGGGUAAAGGAAAGGAGGUUAACAGAAAGUUAAAGGUGUGUUUGGAUCCAAAUAAGAGGCAAGGACAGAGAUUACUGAAGGGCAAAUGGAGGGGAAACAAAAACCAAAAGAACAGAGGAAGAAAAGAGAAGAUUAAGAAGUCUGACAACAAGGAUGAUUAUUGAAGUUACUCUAUCUGUUAUAAUGCACAAGAUUUCAAAGCCAUUUAGCCAUAAAUGUAUUCUUUGUGAUUCUUUGUGAUUUCUAUGAUGAAACUAUAACUAACACUAUCGUUUUGAGCUAAACACACUUUUUAACUUUUACUAAAUAAUUUUUAUACAAACGUUUGUAAUCCAGAGGAAAUCUGUGUGUGAUGUAGCCAUGAAAUAAAAAUA